rnacentral:pre_miRNA from 1 species
GAUAACGUUUGAUUGUCCGUCUUAUAUGAAAUUUUUUUAUAAUUAGUAUUUUCAAUGUUGUUAGAUGAUAAAACAUGAUUAAUACUUUAUGCAUGACUUGUCUUUUUAAUUUUUUUUAAUUUUUUUUUCAAAUAAGACGGACGGUCAAACGUUAGAUACGGAAAUACAUGG